CCUACGGUGGGCAGCAGUGGGGGAUAUUGCACAAUGGGGGGAACCCUGAUGCAGCGACGCCGCGUGGGUGAAGGAGUGCUUCGGCAUGUAAAGCCCUAUCGGCAGGGAAGAAGCAAGACGGUACCUGACUAAGAAGCCCCGGCUAACUACGUGCCAGCAGCCGCGGUAAUACGUAGGGGGCAAGCGUUAUCCGGAUUUACUGGGUGUAAAGGGAGCGUAGACGGCAGUGCAAGUCUGGAGUGAAAGGCGGGGGCUCAACCCCCGGACUGCUCUGGAAACUGUACGGCUGGAGUGCAGGAGAGGUAAGUGGAAUUCCUAGUGGAGCGGUGAAAUGCGUAGAUAUUAGGAGGAACACCAGUGGCGAAGGCGGCUUACUGGACUGUAACUGACGUUGAGGCUCGAAAGCGUGGGGAGCAAACAGGAUUAGAUACCCCGGUAGUC
rnacentral:rRNA from 1 species